CUUUCCUUGACGACGACUGGCGCACGGGUGAGUAACGCGUAUCCAACCUUCCCAUGACCACGGGAUAACCCGUUGAAAGACGGCCUAAUACCGUAUGACGUCGUUUGCCGACAUCGAAAGACGACCAAAGGUUUGGCGGUGAUGGAUGGGGAUGCGUCUGAUUAGCUUGUUGGCGGGGUAACGGCCCACCAAGGCUACGAUCAGUAGGGGUUCUGAGAGGAAGGUCCCCCACAUUGGAACUGAGACACGGUCCAAACUCCUACGGGAGGCAGCAGAG
rnacentral:rRNA from 1 species